rnacentral:rRNA from 1 species
GUGCCAGCAGCCGCGGUAAUACAGAGGUGGCAAGCGUUGUUCGGAAUUACUGGGCGUAAAGGGCGCGUAGGCGGCCUACUAAGUCAGACGUGAAAUCCCCCGGCUUAACCUGGGAACUGCGUCUGAUACUGGAAGGCUUGAGGAUGGGAGAGGGAUGUAGAAUUCCAGGUGUAGCGGUGAAAUGCGUAGAUAUCUGGAGGAAUACCGGUGGCGAAGGCGGCAUCCUGGACCAUUACUGACGCUGAGGCGCGAAAGCUAGGGGAGCAAACGGGAUUAGAAACCCCCGUAGUCC